UACGGAGGGAGCAAGCGUUACUCGGAAUUAUUGGGCGUAAAGGGCGCGUAGGCGAUUUGAAAAGUCUUGUGUGAAAGCCCCGAGCUUAACUCGGGAAGUGCACAAGAAACUGUUGAAUUUGAGUUCCGGAGAGGAAGGCAGAAUUCCCGGUGUAGCGGUGAAAUGCGUAGAUAUCGGGAGGAAUACCAGUGGCGAAGGCGGCCUUCUGGACGGAUACUGACGCUGAGGCGCGAAAGCGUGGGGAUCAAACAGG
rnacentral:rRNA from 1 species